rnacentral:piRNA from 1 species
UUAGUAGCGAGUACUCUCUGUUGAGU